GAUUAACGCUAGCGGCAGGCAUAAUACAUGCAAGUUGAACGGGAUUCAGGCAGCAAUGUUUGAUGAGAGUAGCGCACGGGUGCGUAACACGUAUGCAACCUGCCCCUGACUGGAGGAUGGCCUCUCGAAAGAGAGAUUAAUAUUCCAUAACAUAUAGAAUAAGCAUUUAUUUUAUAUCAAAGCUCCGGCGGUCAGGGAUGGGGCANGCGGCUGAUUAGGUAGUUGGUGAGGUAACGGCUCACCAAGCCGACGAUCAGUAGGGGGUC
rnacentral:rRNA from 1 species